UAUAGAUUUAGCUUUAUAAAUAAAAUUGAUUAAGUGUGUUGUAGUAAGAAGGUGAGAAAUACAAGAUUGUUAAUAGAACCGAAGGGGAUAAUCUAUAAUUUUUUUUAUAGUAAAUUUUAAAAUUUGUACCUUUAGCAUUAUGGGUUAAUAAUAUAAUUAAAUUUAAAAUUUAUUUCUCGAAUUAAAAGGAUUUAUUUAGUAGAGAGUUUGUAACUUGGUGAUUUUAACGUGGUAUAGUUAUAUUAUUAUUACUAAAUGGUAGUGAAAUGCUAUGCGACUUUUAUGUUAGCUAGUUUAUUAAUUAAAACAUAUUAGUGUGGUGUAACACUAUAUGAAACCAUAUAGUGUUAUAUUUAUAUUAAAUGGGGGAUAAGCUUCAUAUUAUAGUUGAGAUUGUUAUAUAAGUUAAUUUUAAUUUAAAUUGAAUUAGAUAAUUUUAUUUAUAAUUAUUUAACUAAAUGGGUAGGAUUAAUCUUAAUUAAUUUUAAUAAAUUUUUAUUAAUCAUUAUGAUAAAAAAAUAUAAUGUUAAUAUGAGUAUUUAGUAUUUUAAUAAUUUAUAUUUGUUAGUAAUUAGUAUUGUUAGAUAAAUAAAAGUUAUAAAAUUGUUGUGAUUUAAUAAAGUAAAUAAAAGGAAUUAGGCAAAUAUCAAUUUCGCCUGUUUAUCAAAAACAUGUCUCUUUGUUUAUUUUAUAUAGAGAGUCGGGCCUGCUCGGUGACAUAUUUGUUUAACAGCUGCGGUAUUUUAACUGUACUAAGGUAGCAUAAUAAUUUGUCUUAUAAAUUGAGGCUAGAAUGAAUGGUUUGACGAAAGUUGAUCUGUCUCUUAUUUAUUUUUUAAAAAUUAAUUUUUAAAGUGAAAAAGCUUGGAUUAUUUAAAGGGACGAGAAGACCCUAUUGAGCUUUUGUUGUUUGAUUAUAUAAGUAUUUAUAAUUUUAGACAUAUUUGAUUGGGGUGAUCAAGGAAUAAAAAUUUAAUUUAACUUCCUUAAAGUUGUUAUAUUAUUUAAUUAAUUAACCAGUUUUACUGCUUUUAUGAGUAAGUUACCAUAGGGAUAACAGCGUAAUUUUUUUAGAGAGUUCUUAUUGAAAAAAGAGAUUGCGACCUCGAUGUUGGAUUAAAAUUACCUUAAGGUGUAGAAGCUUUAUUUGGUAAAUCUGUUCGAUUUUUAAAAUUUUACAUGAUCUGAGUUCAGACCGGUGUGAGCCAGGUUGGUUUCUAUCUUUUAAUUAUAUUAUUGUGUUUAGUACGAAAGGACCAAUUAUGAUUAAAAUUUUAAUUAUAUAAUAAAAAUUAUAAAAUUGGCAGAAUUAUAUGCGGAUGAGUUAGGAUCAUUU
rnacentral:rRNA from 1 species